GACGAACGCUGGCGGCGUGCUUAACACAUGCAAGUCGAACGGAGUUACGUAUGAAGUAUUUCGGUACGGACUAUGUAACUUAGUGGCGAACGGGUGAGUAACACGUGGGCAACCUGCCCUUAACCGGGGGAUAACAUUGUGAAAACAGUGCUAAUACCGCAUAACAGAGUAUCGGGCAUCCGAUAUUUUUAAAAGGAGCAAUCCGGUUUAGGAUGGGCCCGCGUCCAAUUAGCUAGUUGGUGAGGUAACGGCUCACCAAGGCUACGAUUGGUAGCCGAACUGAGAGGUUGAUCGGCCACAUUGGGACUGAGACACGGCCCAGACUCCUACGGGAGGCAGCAGUGGGGAAUAUUGGGCAAUGGGCGAAAGCCUGACCCAGCGACGCCGCGUGAAGGAUGAAGGUCUUCGGAUUGUAAACUUCUUUGAUCAGGGAAGAAAGAAAUGACGGUACCUGAAGAACAAGCCACGGCUAACUACGUGCCAGCAGCCGCAGUAAAAUCACGUGUA
rnacentral:rRNA from 1 species